rnacentral:rRNA from 1 species
AUUGAACGCUGGCGGCAGGCUUAACACAUGCAAGUCGAACGAGUGGCGGACGGGUGAGUAAUGCCUGGGAAACUGGCUGAUGGAGGGGGAUAACUACGGGAAACGGUAGCUAAUACCGCGUACCAUAGGAUGAGCCCAGGUGGGAUUAGGUAGUUGGUGGGGUAACGGCUCACCAAGGCGACGAUCCCUAGCUGGUCUGAGAGGAUGACCAGCCACACUGGAACUGAGACACGGCCCAGACUCCUACGGGAGGCAGCAGUGGGGAAUAUUGCGCAAUGGGCGCAACCCUGACGCAGCCAUGCCGCGUGAAUGAAGAAGGCCUUCGGGUUGUAAAGUACUUUCGGUAGGGAGGCGUUACCUACAGAAGAAGCACCGGCUAACUCCGUGCCAGCAGCCGCGGUAAUUC